rnacentral:rRNA from 3 species
GACCGCGACCCCAGGUCAG